rnacentral:tRNA from 1 species
AGUCCGGUGGUGUAAUGGUAGCACCGCUGAUUUUGGUUCAGCUAGUCGGGGUUCGAGUCCCUGCCGGACUGCCA